UGGGCACAGAGACGAUUCGGCGCUGCCGUG
rnacentral:sRNA from 1 species